rnacentral:lncRNA from 1 species
GUUGGUGUAGUAAAUGGGCUUCGCCCACAGCUUCUUCUUGGAUGAGGAUUGAACUUAUUGUUUGCUAGGUGACUGACAAAUAUAUGUAUAGCUUCUCACCUUCUUCAGGUUUAGAGAGGAGAGGUGUCAAUCUCAACUACUUCUUGAGUUCGUCAAAUGUAAAUCAACACUCUUCCGAUCAUUCAAAGUUCUUUACUUGCCUUAUCAUC